rnacentral:tRNA from 1 species
UAUUAAUAUAGUAUAAAUAUUACAUUUGAUUUCCAAUCAAAAAAUCUAAUUAAUAGUAUUAAU